rnacentral:rRNA from 1 species
GAUGAACGCUGGCGGCGUGCCUAAUACAUGCAAGUCGAGCGAACAGACGAGGAGCUUGCUCCUCUGACGUUAGCGGCGGACGGGUGAGUAACACGUGGAUAACCUACCUAUAAGACUGGGAUAACUUCGGGAAACCGGAGCUAAUACCGGAUAAUAUAUUGAACCGCAUGGUUCAAUAGUGAAAGACGGUUUUGCUGUCACUUAUAGAUGGAUCCGCGCCGCAUUAGCUAGUUGGUAAGGUAACGGCUUACCAAGGCAACGAUGCGUAGCCGACCUGAGAGGGUGAUCGGCCACACUGGAACUGAGACACGGACCAGACUCCUACGGGAGGCAGCAGUAGGGAAUCUUCCGCAAGGGGCGAAAGCCUGACGGAGCAACGCCGCGUGAGUGAUGAAGGUCUUCGGAUCGUAAAACUCUGUUAUUAGGGAAGAACAAAUGUGUAAGUAACUAUGCACGUCUUGACGGUACCUAAUCAGAAAGCCACGGCUAACUACGUG